GGAACAGAGGAGAAAGCAGGAUUUGGGCCCGAGGCUUGAUUGAUCAUCUCCGAUGUCUGAGCUCUGCGUCCGUUCAGCCUCCACCUUGUGCUUCUCCUCAGGGUCUCGGCAACAACACGCACCAAAGGAUAAACAGUCAGAAGGUGAAGGGGGAAAAUAUUCUUCAAACGCUGUUGCUGAAUGUGUCAGUAUUUGAGAGUCAGCACAGCAGCACUCGCUCGGAGAGGGAAAUAAUUGGCUGCACUGUGCAAAGGCAUACACGUCAGUCUUCCUCGGUGCAGCCAUGGAUGUGAUAAUACAUAUGAAUUUUGCAUCUUUCAACACUGGCUCUGUUUAGAUGUCAUCGUGCAAGCAAUAAAUAUCCCUUCAUGAAA